AGCGUCAGUACAUACGUAGUAGACUGCCUUCGCAAUCGGUAUUCUGUGUAAUAUCUAUGCAUUUCACCGCUACACUACACAUUCUAUCUACUUCCAUAUGACUCAAGUCAACCAGUAUCAAAGGCAGUUCCAUAGUUGAGCUAUGGGAUUUCACCUCUGACUUAAUCGACCGCCUGCGGACCCUUUAAACCCAAUGAUUCCGGAUAACGCUCGGACCCUCCGUAUUACCGCGGCUGCUGGCACGGAGUUAGCCGGUCCUUAUUCUUACAGUACCGUCAAGCUGGUAUACAUACCAGUGUUUCUUCCUGUAUAAAAGUAGUUUACAACCCAUAGGGCAUUCUUCCUACACGCGGCAUGGCUGGAUCAGAGUCUCCUCCAUUGUCCAAUAUUCCUCACUGCUGCCUCCCGUAGGAGUCUGGUCCGUGUCUCAGUACCAGUGUGGGGGAUCUCCCUCUCAGGACCCCUACCUAUCGCUGUCUUGGUAAGCCGUUACCUUACCAACUAGCUAAUAGGACGCAUAGCCAUCUUUUACCGAUAAAUCUUUAAUUAUAAACUGAUGCCAGUCUACAAUACCAUAAGGUAUUAAUCUUCAUUUCUAAAGGCUAUCCCUCUGUAAAAGGUAGGUUCUAUACGCGUUACGCACCCGUGCGCCGGUCGUCAGCGGAGCAAGCUCCCUGUUACCCCUCGACUUGCAUGUGUUAAGCCUGCCGCUAGCGUUCAUCCUGAGCCAGGAUCAAACUCU
rnacentral:rRNA from 1 species